rnacentral:rRNA from 1 species
UACAGAGGGGGCGAGCGUUAUUCGGAAUUAUUGGGCGUAAAGGGCGCGUAGGCGGCUUGACAAGUCCAAGGUGAAAUCCCUCGGCUCAACCGAGGAACUGCCUUGGAAACUGUCUGGCUUGAGGCCGGGAGAGGGUAGUGGAAUUCCCAGUGUAGCGGUGAAAUGCGUAGAUAUUGGGAGGAACACCGGUGGCGAAGGCGGCUACCUGGACCGGAUCUGACGCUG